rnacentral:lncRNA from 1 species
GUCAUGAAGGAGAAGGGCAAGAGGUCACCACAUGAUGUUCAGAGAGCCAUAUGGAGUCAAGUAAGGCAUGUGGUGUUUAGAGAACGAUUUGGUCUCACGUAAGGCAUUUUGGGGGCUGCAGGGAUCCUAGGGAAGAUGGGCAAUCCAGAGGGAUGGGAGCUUCCCCAGGGCAGAGGCCAGGGUCACCCAGAAGGGCUGACAGAACCACCAAGAGCUCUUCUGGCCAGGGAGCAGCCAGCAUUAUGGAUUGAGCACCUCCCAGGUUCCCCUGGGCUGAGCUGGGGCAUUUGGGACCAGAACCCAGGUGGCUCCUGAGGAGACGCCAGGCAGCAAACAAAAUAAUGCAGAAUGGUGAAAAGUGCUCUCCAUGAUCCAUGG